AGAUUGAACGCUGGCGGCAUGCUUUACACAUGCAAGUCGAACGGCAGCACGAGUGCUUGCACUUGGUGGCGAGUGGCGGACGGGUGAGUAAUACAUCGGAACGUGUCCUUAAGUGGGGGAUAACGCAUCGAAAGAUGUGCUAAUACCGCAUAAUAUCUGAGGAAGAAAGUGGGGGAUCGAAAGACCUCAUGCUUUUGGAGCGGCCGAUGUCUGAUUAGCUAGUUGGUGAGGUAAUGGCUUACCAAGGCAACGAUCAGUAGUUGGUCUGAGAGGACGACCAGCCACACUGGGACUGAGACACGGCCCAGACUCCUACGGGAGCAGCAGUGGGGAAUUUGGACAAGUGGGCGCAAGCCUGAUCCAGCAAUGCCGCGUGAGUGAAGAAGCCUUCGGUGUAAAGCUCUUUCAGUUGAGAAGAAAGAAUUCUAGGUUAAUACUAGGAAUUUAUGUAGUAUCGACAGAAGAAGCACGCUAACG
rnacentral:rRNA from 1 species